GGAGGAUUUGGGAUAAGUUUCGUUUAGUGAUAGAUGCUCAAGCCAGCAGUUGACUACCUGGUUCCUGAUGUCCACCUUCAAUGAGGUAGUAGUCAUUUCCUGCUGGUUUGUCAGGCUUAUGAAACACAAUCCGUGGCUCAAUCCUUGUUGAGACACCAACGUGAAUGCAAUCAGGAAACAGGGUUUCCCUGUGUAACCUAUUUGCCUGUAUUCUGCUUUUCAUCUGCUUAUUACAGUUUGGCUUUUUGAUGCAAGGUUACGUAGUCCAGGCUGGACUGGAACGUCAGAUCCUCCCGUGUCCACCUCCUGAGCACUGAGAUUGCAAGGAUGCACCGCCAUGCCUGUGUCUCCACAAGCUUCUUGAAUGCCCUGGGAAUAGAAAGGCAGUCAUGACAGACUGCAAGGAUUGUCAGCACCACGGACAGUAGCUCACCCAGCUAACGCUGGCAGUUCACUAGGGUACAGACAGCCAAGGGCACGCAGAUGACCUGUAAUAUCUUGGAGAGUCUUCAUCAACAUAUUCUCUUUCGCUUUCUAGUCUUCUAGGUUUUGAAGGAAAUAGCUUUGAUUUCUUUCAGUGAAGAAAGAGGAGUCCCAUGUUUGAAUAAUCUACAGGACUGAGGGACUCAGGCUGAAGGAAGGAAACUGUGUAGACUUGCUAAAGAUACAAAGAGAAGUUCACCAUAUACCGAUGUGAAAGGUCUCCUGCAUAUGUUAUUAAGAAAAAGAGCCAGGUUCAGAACAAGUAAUGUAUUAGCGUGUUUAUAUAAAAAGAAGGCAGUGUCUCCAGGAGGGUGCUCCAGGCAGGCCCUUCAGCGGCGGAGCUAAAUCCCCAACCCCCACCUUGUGUGUCUUUAGGAUGAGAUGACCGGGUCAUCCGUAUGAAACCUGAGGACUGGGCUGUAGGUGGGCACUUGUUUUGCGUGCGUAAAGCUCUCCAUUUGAGUCUCAACAUGACAAUGAAUGAAUGAACUUCAAUACAAAUAAAGUAAAUUAUCUGUGAUUCGAUUCCCAUAUAAUUUACCCACUUGGUUAUCUUGGGAAUAAAACAGAAUUAUUUAUGUGAAGAUCCUUUGAAGGAUAUUGUUGGGGGCACAAUUAUAAUGUAAGAACACAUUUAUAAAAUAGCAAACCUAUAGUUAGUUCAUGAUCAGCUAGAAGAGUCUGACGAGUUUCUGCUGAAUGCGGCUGACUUUGACAGUGUCUGAAGCCCACCUGUAGACCUCUGCUGAGCACCGAGUUGGAGUAAUUGUCUACACCUAAAAGUACCCUGGUCUAAUCCGAGGACCCUCCCAGAAUGCUCCUAUAUUAUGGGAGUGCCUUUAACUAUGCUCACUCUGUAAAGCCCCCUCCCCUUGCUCAGAGUGCUUCUAUGUUAUGACAAACAAUUCCUUUGUUUCGACAAAUCUGUUCAAGAAUGCCUGCCUGUCAGUAUAUGGCUGAAUGCAUAUAACCAGUUGUGUAAGGUUGCUUUGUACCUUCUACUUCUAAAAUCUGUAUAAACUAAGCUCUGUAAAGUCAGCGCUGUUGCCUUUGUGGAAUUAUGCUGCAACAGUCUGCUAGUGUAAAGAUUAAACACUGUCAUCUCC